rnacentral:misc_RNA from 1 species
CAGAGAUCAUGCCCUCACGGGUAGACCUCCCACCCUGUGUUAUUUACAAUUGUUGCUUUGGCAGGCCGCCUUCGGGUGCCUGGCUUCGGCUGGGUUGCGCCUGCCAGAGGACCCCCAACUCUGUGUUUAGUGUUGUCUGAGUAUCAUUUAAUAAAAUUA